rnacentral:rRNA from 1 species
UACGUAGGCAGCAAGCGUUGUUCGGAAUUACUGGGCGUAAAGAGUGUGUAGGCGGUGCUCUAAGUCUGUUGUGAAAUCUCCCGGCUUAACUGGGAGGGUGCAGCGGAAACUGGAAUGCUCGAGUAUGGGAGAGGUAAGCGGAAUUCCUGGUGUAGCGGUGAAAUGCGUAGAGAUCAUGAGGAAGACCAGUGGCGAAGGCGGGUCUCUGGACAGUUCCUGACACUGAGACACGAAGGCCAGGGGAGCAAACGGG